rnacentral:rRNA from 1 species
GACGAACGCUGGCGGCGUGCUUAACACAUGCAAGUCGAACGGAAAGGCCCUGCUUUUGUGGGGUGCUCGAGUGGCGAACGGGUGAGUAACACGUGAGUAACCUGCCCUUGACUUUGGGAUAACUUCAGGAAACUGGGGCUAAUACCGGAUAGGAGCUCCUGCUGCAUGGUGGGGGUUGGAAAGUUUCGGCGGUUGGGGAUGGACUCGCGGCUUAUCAGCUUGUUGGUGGGGUAGUGGCUUACCAAGGCUUUGACGGGUAGCCGGGCUGAGAGGGUGACCGGCCACAUUGGGACUGGACUGCGGCCCAGACCCCUACGGGACGCAGCAGUGGGGAAUAGUGCACUAUGGGAGGAAGCCUGAUGCAGCAACGCCGCGUGCGGGAUGACGGCCUUCGGGUUGUAAACCGCUUUCGCCUGUGACGAAGCGUGAGUGACGGUAAUGGGUAAAGAAGCACCGGCUAACUACGUG